GCUCGGAUCGUUUUCGCAUGAAUUCUUGUAAGAAGCCGAUUUUCCGCUUGGCAGUCCACGACAACAAUUUCUUUCGAAUCAACUACCAUUUUUGUCCCUUUCAUUGAUCGUUCGAUCGUUUACUGUUCACGCAAAUCUUAUCGAUAUUGAAGUAGUUUGUAGAUAUACAUGUAAGUAGUUCUAUCGACUCAUUCAGCAAUCGCAGCAUUUAUUGCGCUUGCAAUAUCUUGUGAACCUUUUGCGACAUGGAUUUUUCAAAUAUUUUCUCUAUAUUCGACGUUUCAUUGCACUCGCGUUUGAAAAGUUCUUCGAUAAGACCAAUGGGUAACGAGAAUUAUUUUAGAUAGUAUUAUUCUUAUUGGCAAUCUGUACGUAAUAGAGUAUUUACAAUAAUAUUUAGUACAUGAAACCCAUCAUUUACAUUCAAAAUUCUUCAGUCACGUUGAUGAAAAUAUAAAAAUUCGUAAAAAUCCAUAGCGAAUAUAGAACAAACAUUGUCACAGAUAAAGUGUGCAGAUUACACAGAAUUCGUGGCAAUGGUCGCGCUAACCGAAAGUUCUGAGAUUUAAAAUUCCUUCAAGGAAACGCUGUCUCAUCAGCAACCACGAAGCGUGUGUUAAUCGAUACACGUUUCCUUGGCUUCUUUUAGCCAAAUGGAGUAAGAGAUUGAGAGCCACUGAGACCGCUGGCAAAUAAAUAGAUCACCGACGAAGCUCCUUCGAUUGUCAAUGCUCUUCAGAAUUGGAUGAAGAACGAUAGCAGGAAGGAAGGAAGGAAGAGAGGGAGGAAGAGGUGAAGUAAUGCAUUACUGGCAAAGAAGAGGCGGAAAGAGGUGAAACGAGUAUGGUAGACGACACGAUGUCAGGUCGGUUGGACGAUGACGAACGCUCGCUAUCAACUUCCUGCUAGAAUUGAUAUAGAUGCGCGGGCCCUCUGUUCCUACUACGUUAAACGCGACGAAAGGGUCGUUGAUCCGGAUAGUUCAGCAAGUUAUCGCCUUUUUUUCCCCAACGAUCGACGCUGUGUUUCGCGUGGGAAUUCCUGAAAUGUCGGAUCCGAUGGAAACGCCGACGAGUUAUGAAAAAAAAAAAAGGACGGGAUUUUUCUGGCCAAUUCGAGAUCAAUCGAAAGGCGAAACAGGUAGAGAUUGAUAUCGUCGCGAUGAAAAUUGAGGAAAAACCGUCGAGUUGACGAACGCACUGUAUCGUUUCUGGAAUUUCGGCUUUUGAAAUUUCUCGAAGCCUAACGUUGUGUUAGAUAAUACAUUCUGUUUGUUUAAGUAUUCUUAAGUAUUCUUAAGUAUUCUUUCCUUCCUGGAAAGUUAUAAUAAUCGAUGAAAAUUGAGGUAAAAUUGUUCGGUUAAAGAACGUACUUAUUGGAUUUUUUAAGAUUUUUCGGAGUACAAUGGAAUAAAUCGAUUGUCGGGAACGUUAAGAAUACAAGAAUCUUGUAGUAACAGAGAAAAUAAUGGAAAUGCAUGUAUAAAAUGUAAUGAAUGUAAUGGAAUGAAUCGAUUAACAAGAAUCUCAAAAAUAUGUGCUCCGAGAAAUCCAAUAAUAUUUGAGUAACAGAGACAAUAAUAAUAAUAAUACGACCGUGUUUUCCUUUCACUUUUCGGAGAAUAUAGCUUCUCAUCGGUCAAACACGUAAAUACAGGGGUCUAUAAAAUCCUUGGUGAUAAAUAUAACUGGAGUGAAUGAGCUUAUUGAUAACAGAAGAUCACAGGAUGUUCCUCUCUUGUAAAAGCAAUCUCGGAAUCUCUCAUAACAACAUAAACUCAACCAGAAGAAAAAUGUCUUUUCGGAGUACACUUGUGUUUUCAAAAGAAAUUACGCGUUUACACUGCAAGAUAGGAUUAUACGUUCGAUGUAAUUUUUAGCGUUUUUCAAUGAUUUAUUGCUAGGACUAUACUUUGAAACUGAGUUUUGUAUUACAUGCCUGUGUGUAUUAUAGCUAGGCUACGAAUUUUUAUACAUUUAUUGCUGCAGCUAUUUGUUCUUUUUCGUUCAACAACUCAUCGCAUAAAAAUUCG